UACAGAGACUGCAAGCGUUACUCGGAUUCACUGGGCGUAAAGGGAGCGCAGGCGGGCUGGUGUGUCAGGCGUGAAAUCCCGGGGCUCAACCCCGGGGCUGCGCUUGAAACUACCAGUCUAGAGACUCGGAGGGGUAAGCGGAAUUCGUGGUGGAGCAGUGAAAUGCGUAGAUAUUGGGAAGAACACCAACGGCGAAAGCACUUUGCUAGGUUAAUACUGACACUGAGAAACGAAAGCUAAGGUAGCAAACAGG
rnacentral:misc_RNA from 1 species